UCAACUCCUUCAAGGCCUGGCAAUGUUGCUAUUGAGGAAGCUCAUGAACACAAACCUGGUUUUGAUGCUUCAUCAGAGGUAUGAUUUUAUAGUUGUGAGGACUUAGGAUCCUCUGGCCUUGGUUUAGGGUAUCCAUUGUUUGAUAUUAAAGUAUUUGUAUGCUCCAGGGUGGUGAUGUUAUGAGAACAGUUAUAUCAGCAAAUGGGGUGCUUUCUGAAGGCACUAAAUUGAACAAAUAUCAUGCAGAAUCUGUUGGACCAUCCAAAAUUGAAAAAGAAGAGGGAGAAUUAUCACCUAAUGGUGAUUUUGAGGAGGAUAAUUUUGUUGUCUAUGGAGAUGCUAGUACCCAGGCUGUGCCUUUGGCAAAGCACAGUUCUGAAAGGCGGCAAUUCCAAGCAGGUGAUGGACAAGAGAGGGAUUGCCAGGUUGCUGGAGGAGAAAAU
rnacentral:lncRNA from 1 species